ACAUUUUCUACCGUUCCGCCACUCAAUAUAUUCAACAAGUC
rnacentral:sRNA from 1 species